GAUGGUGCUGGCGGCGGGG
rnacentral:misc_RNA from 1 species